CAACCACACAGAUAAGUCCCUCUUAAGGAGGUGGUUUAAACCAAGGAAGAAACCAAGGCCCAUUGUUCCAGCUAGUAAAGCUGUGGUGCUUGACUUUUAUAUAUGGCACCUAGAUAUACAACUGUUGUAGUAGAGGGAUGACUACGAGAACCCCUGUUUCUACCCAAAAAUUCUCCUCACUGCUGGACAAGGCAGUAACACCAGCACCCACCCACCCUUGCAAUGGAUGACUUUGAGCCACUUUAGAAUCCCACUUCUUAUUAAUGAACGGAUUCUAAAACUGGCCACAGCACCGCAGCCCCCAGCCACUUGUCUUUCCACCUCCAAGUGGGUGCAAGAAAGGUAUCAGGUGCCUCUGAAAUCCUUCAAGCUCUUUUACACCAACCCAAACCCAGGGUCCUUGAUUGUCCCUGCAGUGGAACAAACAUCAAAGCUUACUAAAGGCACUCCUGAGGACAAGGACCAUAAGAAUUUAGAC